rnacentral:rRNA from 1 species
CAGCAGCCACGGUAAUACGAAGGGGGCUAGCGUUGCUCGGAAUUACUGGGCGUAAAGCGCACGUAGGCGGCUUGGUAAGUUAGAGGUGAAAGCCUGGAGCUCAACUCCAGAAUUGCCUUUAAGACUGCCGAGCUAGCAGGUGAGAGAGGUAAGUGGAAUUCCGAGUGUAGAGGUGAAAUUCGUAGAUAUUCGGAAGAACACCAGUGGCGAAGGCGGCUUACUGGCUCAUACUGGACGCUGAGGUGCGAAAGCGUGGGGAGCAAACAGGAUUAGAUACCCGGGUAGUCCCUGUCUCUUAUAC